rnacentral:rRNA from 1 species
GAUGAACGCUGGCGGCGUGCCUAAUACAUGCAAGUCGAGCGAACAGACGAGGAGCUUGCUCCUCUGACGUUAGCGGCGGACGGGUGAGUAACACGUGGAUAACCUACCUAUAAGACUGGGAUAACUUCGGGAAACCGGAGCUAAUACCGGAUAAUAUAUUGAACCGCAUGGUUCAAUAGUGAAAGACGGUUUUGCUGUCACUUAUAGAUGGAUCCGCGCCGCAUUAGCUAGUUGGUAAGGUAACGGCUUACCAAGGCGACGAUGCGUAGCCGACCUGAGAGGGGGAUCGGCCACCCUGGAACUGAGACACGGUCCAGGCUCCUACGGGAGGCAGCAGUAGCGAACCUUCCGCAGUAGGCGAAAGCCUGGCGGAGCGACGCCGCGCGAGUGAUGAAGGUCUUGGGAGCGUAAUACUGUGUUAUGAGGGAAGAACAAAUUUGUAAGUUACUAUGCACGUCUUGACGGUACCUAGUCAGAAAGCCACGGCUAACUACGUG